AGAAGUUGGCCAUCUUUGUGCUAUCAUAGUGAAGAAAGUAGUCCAGACUGCUCAUUAUUACCUGCUCCCAGUCCUCAGUGAAAUUCUGGGUGUUCCUGCCGCAUACGUAUGUGGAAUGACAAGAUCAGGGCAACACACAUUUUGGGUAAGCACCUCAGAGGCCAAGAGACCUGAAGGAUCAUCUAUACGCCAAGGAUCUCAGGGGAUAACAAAUGAAAUGCUCUUGGCAGCAGCCAAGAAAGAAGUCGAUGAGAUUUUUCGAGAAUCUGUCAGAAUAGUCAGUGGUUUGGAUCCAGUUGUGCCUGCCUUACCAGAGAGAUAUUCUUCCAUCUCCGAAAAGAAUGUGGAUUUGACAGCCUCAUGCACCAUUAAGGACUUUGACUCUGGUCCUACUACAGCACCCAUGAUGGCUGAGGACGCUAAAGCCUCAGGACUAUCACAAUCCAUCCCCUUGCUCAAUCAGUUUACCGACACUGAAUUUCAACAAAGGGCAUCAAAGCAAGUGAGUGAGGUUUUGCUCAAAACUCUUGAAAAUGAAUCCCCAAUUGAGGAAUUUGCUGAAGAUGACGAGGAAUCAAACUCCAAAGCAGAAAGUCAAACAGACCUCUGUAGGGUUCAUGCUAUCUUUCCAUCUGGUCCCCUGUCAGAGUCUCUUGCAGUUGAUCUAGUUGAUGAUAUUAUUGAAUCCAUGAAGGACAAAGUCUCCUGCCAAGAGGUUUAUUCAACAUCAUAUGAUGUUGUUGGAUGUGUUAUUGAAGGGAUGAAAGAUCUUUUGGAGAAAACACAAGCCCUAGGAACUGUUGUUCCAAUGAAAAGGAUCUACAGGACAACAUGUCAAAUAAUGUUCAAUGCAAUUCAGAACAUGGUGGGGAAAUUGUUUUGCAAAUCUUUUCACUCUGACAGUAAAAAGAAAAUGACAGUGGCUUCUGCCAUCAAUGUCACUAGCAAAGCAAUUGUGUCCAUGCAGAGUGAACUUCCCGAUCUCAAGACGGCAGGAAAUCUAGAGCAGGUAGAGCUGAUUGAUAAGAUCCUUAGUGCUAUGUUGAAUGAAGUACAAGUGAUUGACAUUGAAACAGAAACAGACAGGUCACAAAGCCCUGGAUUGCCAUUGUCACACUCCUCAGUAUCAUUUCACUCAGAAAUAGAUGACCAAACCAAACUCACCGGUACUGCUGUUCUCCCUGAAGUGUUUAUCGAAAGGAUUUCCCCUCUUCUGACGCAUACUUUUGUUGACAUGGAUGCUGCUUCAUUGUCUCCUGGAUGUGUAAAUGAAACCAUCAGUAGUGUGUUAGACACCAUCUUAGAAUGGGAAAAAUGUGUACCCAUCACUGGAAGACUGGAGAAAUUGAUCACUGAAACACAAAUAGGUCAAUAUUCCUAUGAUAUUGCAGAUCGAGUACAUAAAACACUAAAAGGUUAUCAUGGUCUCCAGACCAUUUCCGUGCCAGUUGGAAAGAGUCUUUCAGAUUCUAUGCUUUGCAAAUUAACAUCUAGAGCUGAGGGAAAGAAUGAAAUUCCAUCAGAGUUCGUUUACAGUUAUGUAGAGGAGGCUGUGAAGCGACUACUCCUGUCAUGUUUGUUCCCCUCAGCAUCUUCUGAGAAUCAAGAACGUUUACAGAAUAAUCUAGAGACCUCAAAAUCAUCACCUGAGGUGUUUGGAAGUACAAUGAACGUAUUCACACAAGUGAUGACCAACGAAGUCAUGGUGGCACUCUCCACAGAGUCAAAGAAAAAUGUUUCUUCUGACUUGAAGGAAUUAGUUAAGGAGGAUCAGAAACUCUUAGACAAACGGGCACAGGACACUAAAACUAGAUCAUCCACCACUAACUCAAACAAUCUGCCCCCUCGUACUUUUGACGAACAUACAGAUUUGAUGCAAAAUAGUCAGUGUGAAGGAGUCGCCAGUUCAUGUCACCUACGUCUGUUAGAGUCCAACAAGAAAGACUUUGCCUCCUUGGUCUCCAUGCUGGUCAUUCGACUCCUGAAGAAAGUCAAUAGCUUACAAAAGGACAUUGGCACCCACCAGGAUGGACUUCCAGAUAAUGUGCUGGAUAUGUCCAGAGACUUGAUUCAGAAGAUUCUGUCUGAGCUCAAUACAGCGUUUGGCAUGACAGGCGAUGAAACCUAUCCUAAGGAUGUGAAUUUUCACCAGAUUUACAGAAACGUUUACAAAGAACUUACUCGACAGUUUGGGUCUGAAGAUGUGCUCCGUUUUGCCCUUGAAUCACAAGAUCAAUCUUUUGAAUCAUCACUGGUAGAAACGCUAACAAAAGAGAUAACAAAGACUUGUAGCCAAACCAGCAUACCAGCUUCUACACAUCUCCCUCCAAUUCAACCUACAGUUGGACAAGACCAAGGAAAGGAAAAGACCAGGAACAAAAUGUUUCCAGUUUGGCUCAAGAUGCCAACAAUCAAAUCGAAGGUGGAGUAUCAUGCAUAUAAUUUAGCUCAUGGAGCUUUUUACUGUCAUACUGUCAUACAGCCAUACUGUCUAUUCACUACAAUAUGUACUGUACCCAGUUGUAGGGUAUAUCUUUAAGUUACUAUAUAACUAUGUGUUCUUCAGAAACCAAAGAGAGGAUCACAGAGUCUCCUUGUAAGCCAGGCCUCUCCUGUUGCAAACACUAGUAAGUUCAUGGUGAUAUUUGAAGCAACACUUCAACUAGAUCUAACUAUGUUCAUGUUUUUGCCUGCUAUAAAUUAUCCGUUUGGAUGAGGAGGAUAAAUCAUUCCCUAUUUUUUCACAGAGCUCAGUGAGACGCUGGCUCAGGUCACCAAGGCUCCUGUAUCUGCUGGCCCACUGGAGAUGCCACAGGAGGAAGAGACCGUAGGGUGCUGUUUCUUCAGGAUGCCGAAAUUUAAGUUCUCCUUCAAGGUGGAGUUUAGUUUCUAUAUGAGAUGUUAUUGUAAUUUUAGACAUUAUGUGUACUAAUGCUGAUCAGAGAGGCUACUGAGUGAAGAACACAUUGGUGUAACAUGAUCUGUGAGUAUGCAGUUUAGAUAUUUAUUUAUUCAUUACAAUUUGAAUCUGAAAUGAUUUAAUCUCUCUCUUACUUUAUCAGAAAAUAAGGAAAGGUGCUAAAAUUGGCCAUUGUGACGAUGAUAAGUCCUUUGAAGAGAACAUCAAUGUCUCAGGUAAGUGAAACUGAAAGUCUGAACAGAUAAACAUACAUUCAUUCACUGUAACAUUGAGUAUUUACUAAGUAGACGUACUUGGAAAGUGUUGUUUUUUUUCUUCGCCAUCUCUUUUUCAGCCUGUGCAACAUCUUGUCAGACUCGGUUCAAUGAGGCUACUGCUGAACUGACUGCUUCUGAGAGCCAAACUAAACUGGAAGAGACUGCAUCUAGACUGACCAACACAUCUACUCCAAAGAUGGGACUGUCUCACCUAGCUGUUUAAGUCACCGACACAGCUCAAUGAUCCUUUGAAUCAUCGGAUCCUCUAAGAACUCUUCGGUCCUUUCAACUACAUUUUUUUGAACCCCAAUCUGGCUAUUUUAAUUAAACGUAUUAUUGCAUGCAUAUUGGUGUAACUUUGC
ensembl:lncRNA